GGAUGAACGCUAGCGGCAGGCUUAAUACAUGCAAGUCGAGGGGGCAGCACGGGUAGCAAUACCUGGUGGCGACCGGCAAACGGGUGCGGAACACGUACGCAACCUUCCCAUAACUGGUGAAUAGCCUUUCGAAAGAGAGAUUAAUACACCGUAACAUAAUGAAGAGGCAUCUCUUUAUUAUUAUAGGCAGCAAUGUCGGUUUUGGAGUGGGCGUGCGCCUGAUUAGGAGUUGGGCGGGGUAACGGCCCACCAAGCCUGCGAUCAGUAACUGGUGUGAGAGCACGACCAGUCACACGGGCACUGAGAC
rnacentral:rRNA from 1 species